rnacentral:rRNA from 1 species
CAUUCUGCCGGACCUGACUGCUAUCGGAUUGAUACUAAGCCAUGCGAGUCAUUGUAGCAAUACAAGGCAUACGGCUCAGUAACGCGUAGUCAACCUAACCUAUGGACGGGAAUAACCUCGGGAAACUGAGAAUAAUGCCCGAUAGAACAUUAUGCCUGGAAUGGUUUAUGUUCCAAAUGAUUUAUCGCCGUAGGAUGGGACUGCGGCCUAUCAGUUUGUUGGUGAGGUAAUGGCCCACCAAGACUAUUACAGGUACGGGCUCUGAGAGGAGUAGCCCGGAGAUGGGUACUGAGACACGGACCCAGGCCCUAUGGGGCGCAGCAGGCGAGAAAACUUUGCAAUGUGCGAAAGCACGACAAGGUUAAUCCGAGUGGUUUCUGCUAAAGAAACCUUUUGUCAGUCCUAGAAACACUGAUGAAUAAGGGGUGGGCAAGUUCUGGUGU